AGCGAACGCUGGCGGCAGGCUUAACACAUGCAAGUCGAGCGGGCACUUCGGUGUCAGCGGCAGACGGGUGAGUAACACGUGGGAACGUACCCUUCGGUUCGGAAUAACGCUGGGAAACUAGCGCUAAUACCGGAUACGCCCUUUUGGGGAAAGGUUUACUGCCGAAGGAUCGGCCCGCUUCUGAUUAGCUAGUUGGUGGGGUAAUGGCCUACCAAGGCGACGAGCAGUAGCUGGUCUGAGAGGAUGAUCAGCCACACUGGGACUGAGACACGGCCCAGAAUCCUACGGGAGGCAGCAGUGGGGAAUAUUGGACAAUGGGCGCAAGCCUGAUCCAGCCAUGCCGCGUGAGUGAUGAAGGCCUUAGGGUUGUAAAGCUCUUUUGUCCGGGACGAUAAUGACGGUACCGGAAGAAUAAGCCCCGGCUAACUUCGUG
rnacentral:rRNA from 1 species